UGCCGCGUGCAGGAUGAAGGCCUUCGGGUUGUAAACUGCUUUUGUACGGAACGAAAAGACUCUGGUUAAUACCUGGGGUCCAUGACGGUACCGUAAGAAUAAGCACCGGCUAACUACGUGCCAGCAGCCGCGGUAAUACGUAGGGUGCAAGCGUUAAUCGGAAUUACUGGGCGUAAAGCGUGCGCAGGCGGUUAUGUAAGACAGAUGUGAAAUCCCCGGGCUCAACCUGGGAACUGCAUUUGUGACUGCAUAGCUAGAGUACGGUAGAGGGGGAUGGAAUUCCGCGUGUAGCAGUGAAAUGCGUAGAUAUGCGGAGGAACACCGAUGGCGAAGGCAAUCCCCUGGACCUGUACUGACGCUCAUGCACGAAAGCGUGGGGAGCAAACAGGAUUAGAUACCCUGGUAGUCCACGCCCUAAACGAUGUCAACUGGUUGUUGGGUCUUCACUGACUCAGUAACGAAGCUAA
rnacentral:rRNA from 1 species